AGAAGCAGCACCAGCAGAUCAUGUUCCCUUUGUCCAGAAUUUAUUCACAUGGCCACCUGAAGCUACAGGAGAAAUGAACAUUUGGGUUAUAACUUCUAUAGUAAAAGAGAAUAAAUGAGAAGAGAGUUGUAGUGGACAUUGAGUGAGACCACAUGCAGUAUCUGCACACACUGUGAUCUGGUAUGAAAUUGAUGGUCAGCAAAUACUGUGAGAUGAAACUGAAGGCCAGAAUGCACAAUCUUAUAUAAACACACAUCUUAAAAUAAGGCAAAAUAUUCCAAAGCAAAACUUAAGCUACAAAGUACUAGAAAACUGAUAAAUGAAGAUCUUCAAGACUGUUCAUCACUGGUGCACAGAAACACAACUGAUUAUUGUGUGUUGAUCCUGUACCCCACAGCUUGUCCCACAGAGUUAUUUCCACUGUGAUAAAACCUUUUGUGCCUUCACCC